UAGUAGAGAACAGGGUUUUAUUUACCAUGUUGGCCAGGAUCGUCUUGAACUCCUUCUUGAUGAUGGAAUUGACAGUUGAAGCUCAAACACAAAAUCAUGUCAGCACCAGGCUAGUCAGAACCCAUCUGAGAAAAGCCAAGAUUCUAACAUCAGGAAAUCAGGAAUAAAUCACACGCUUCAAAAUCCUUUUAUAUGUAUCCAUCUAAUCCUUGAGGUGGGUAUGAGCCUCUUUUGGCGGUCGGCAAGGAUGGGAAAGAUGACAUGAUUUCACGACUCAUAAAGAAAGUGAUGGAGCUGUAGCUUGAAUUCUUUUACUUCAAAUCCACAAUGCCAUGCCUUGCUCCAGUGAAGGACGGACUGCUGUUCUGUCUCCUAAAACCCACACAGCUCGCCUGGAGCUUCAAAUGUGAGAACACAUUCCAGCUGCAGGAUCAGAGGACUUUUCCUACAGCCCAUAAGUGCCUGCAGCUCUAUCGGAUUUGCAAAUCUACAAAAGAGAGCACAUCCUAUUGUUCCCGGUUUUGAGUUUUUUUAAUGUUGGAGUUCAAGGGAUAUAAAACUGGGCGCUUGAGGAGUGGGAUGGAAAAGGAUGGAGAAGGAAGGUCAAAUAUGGCUUUGAAGGGGAUCAGCAGAAGCCAGAGGCCGCAGUGGUGAACACUCCUUGUGAAUGGCCCUUUGCACCCACGGCUUGGUGAACCCAGCAUGGACCGUGGAGAGAGGACCUGCCUAAAAACCAGAGACGGGGUUUGCCUCUCCGCAUCACCACUGGCUUGCUGCAUCAAGAAUCUGCCUUUCAGCUUCUUCACCUGAAACAAGGUGAUUGGGAUAGCUGGUUUUAUUUAUUUAUUUUUGAGGCCAUUCUAGCACUUUGUAAAGUCCAAGGGGGUGUGGUAUUGUAAUUCUUGGAAUAAUACAAUGAACAUCAGAUGCUUUGAAGUUUUCCGUUCGGUGGAUUCUGGGAUUCUUUUCUGAAUGAGUGAUUACUAGCCAA
rnacentral:lncRNA from 10 species